UACGGAGGGUGCAAGCGUUAAUCGGAAUUACUGGGCGUAAAGCGCGCGUAGGCGGUUUGAUAAGUCGAUUGUGAAAUCCCCGGGCUCAACCUGGGAAUUGCAGUCGAGACUGUCAGACUAGAGUGUGGGAGAGGGUGGUGGAAUUCCCGGUGUAGCGGUGAAAUGCGUAGAUAUCGGGAGGAACAUCAGUGGCGAAGGCGACCGCCUGGCCCAACACUGACGCUGAGGUGCGAAAGCGGUGGGUAGCAAACGAGGA
rnacentral:rRNA from 1 species